UACGGAGGGUGCAAGCGUUAUCCGGAUUCACUGGGUUUAAAGGGUGCGUAGGUGGGCAGGUAAGUCAGUGGUGAAAUCUCCGGGCUUAACCCGGAAACUGCCAUUGAUACUAUCUGUCUUGAAUACCGUGGAGGUGAGCGGAAUAUGUCAUGUAGCGGUGAAAUGCUUAGAUAUGACAUAGAACACCAAUUGCGAAGGCAGCUCACUACACGAAUAUUGACACUGAGGCACGAAAAGCGUGGGGAUCAAACAGG
rnacentral:rRNA from 1 species